rnacentral:rRNA from 1 species
GAUGAACGCUAGCGGCAGGCUUAAUACAUGCAAGUCGAGGGGCAGCAUGAUUGUAGCAAUACAAUUGAUGGCGACCGGCAAACGGGUGCGGAACACGUACACAACCUUCCAACAAGUGGGGGAUAGCCCAGAGAAAUUUGGAUUAAUACCCCGUAACAUAGCGAUGUGGCAUCACAUUGCUAUUAUAGAUUUUUCGCUUGUUGAUGGGUGUGCGGCUGAGUGGAUAGUUGGCGAGGUAACGGCCCACCAAGUCUACGAUCAGUAGCUGAUGUGAGAGCAUGAUCAGCCACACGGGCACUGAGACACGGGCCCGACUCCUACGGGAGGCAGCAGUAAGGAAUAUUGGACAAUGGACGCAAGUCUGAUCCAGCCAUGCCGCGUGAAGGAUUAAGGUCCUCUGGAUUGUAAACUUCUUUUAUAAGGGACGAAAAAAGGCUUUUCUAAGUCGUCUGACGGUACCUUAUGAAUAAGCACCGGCUAACUCCGUGCCAGCCGCCGCCGUAAGAC